rnacentral:rRNA from 1 species
AUGGCGGUGAUGUGCGGUGCUGAGGUAGCCAUCGUCGCCUUCUCACCCGGCGGCAAGGCCUUCUCCUUCGGCCACCCCUCCGUCGAGGCCGUCAUUGACCGCUUCCUGGCAGGGGGCGGUGCGGGAGUCCUGAGCAUCGCUAAUGAUAACGAGCUGAAGAAGUUGCACCUUCAGCAUGGCGAGUUGCGCAUGUUGCUAAAGGAGGUGAAGGAGCGCAAAGAGUGCAUGGAGAAGGCCAUGGCAAAGGAGCGCACUGCGGGGGAUCAGAUUGCCAUGUGGCUCAACCCCAAACUAUGCGCAAUGGGGGAGGAAGAGAUUAUAGCCUUCGCCGCGAAGCUGAGGGUGGUGCGGGCUGCCGUCUCAGAACGCACAAACCAGGCGCUCCUGGAUAAGCAGAAGACCCACCACAUGCUCCAGGCGCCCGCGCCGCCGCUACAACAGCUCUUUGGUGGCAGUACCUUUGAGUUUGGUAGCAGCAGCAGCGCCAACACUGGGAUGGAGAUGCAACAGAUGCAUAUGGUGAUGCCUCCGAUGCAGGGGUUCGCUGCCGGAAUGGAUAUGCACCAUAUGCCAAUGGAGAUGCCUCCGCCACUGGGUUCGGCCUACGGGAUGGAUAUGCAGCAGAUUCUUAUGCCGACUACUUCGCCAUCCAGGUUCGACGCCGGGAUGGAGAUGCAGCAGAUGGUUACAGUGAUGUCGCCACAGCUAGAGUUCGCCACGGAGGCAGAGAUGCAACAGAUGUUUAUGGCGAUGUUUCUGAUGUCGGAGUUCUCCGCCGGGAUGGAGAUGCCGCCGCCCACGGGAAUAGCCGCGGGGGUAGAAAUGGUGCAGCAGGGGCCCGGGACGAACAUGGGCUUUCCGUACUUAGGAGAAGGAGACAAGAUCCAUACCGAGUCUGAGUCCGAGUCCGAAUCCGAGUGUCUUAAUCAGUCCGAGUGA